UCCUGUAGCUCAAAGGGUAAAGAAUCUGCUUGCAAUGCAGGAGACCAGGGUUCGAUCCCUUGGUCAGGAA
rnacentral:tRNA from 1 species